CUAGGAAUUCUGCUCUCAAUCAGGGCUCUGAGAAGUUCUUCCAGGAAUCAGCUUGCUCUGGGAGGACCUGUCUCUCUCCUGCCAGCAAGGCCCCCAAGGUGUGAAAGCAUCAAGAAAAUGAAACUAGAAUCCAGGUGAGAAUGCUUCUCCGCACUCCUGUGGCACAGACUGCCCUGCCCUUGACCUGAACUGACCUGAACGACAGAGAGCCUGCCCUUGCUGCUGCCUUCCCCGGGGGUACUUCCAAGUCUCCAGAGCUUCCUCACCGCUGCCUGCCUCCUCUCUCCCCGGGGGGACGCCGAGGCACCCAGCCCGCAGCUUCACCUAACCACCAGGCGUCUUGAGCCAUCUGGUCCAGGGCAGCUGCCAGAUGACUGCAACUCACGAGUGACCCUGCGAGACCAUUCCCGCUGAGCCCAGCCCAACUGCAGAAUCACCAGCGGAUAAACAACUGUUAAGCUCCUGAGUUUGGGGUUGUUUAUUAUGCCGCAGUAGAUAACUGAUACAGCCACGAACUCUCAUCCUUCAUUG